CAAUGGGCGAAAGCCUGACGGAGCAAGACCGCGUGAGGGAGGAAGGCCUACUGGUUGUAAACCUCUUUUGAUAGGGAAGAACACAAUGACGGUACCUAUCGAAUCAGCAUCGGCUAACUCCGUGCCAGCAGCCGCGGUAAUACGGAGGAUGCAAGCGUUAUCCGGAAUUAUUGGGCGUAAAGCGUCCGUAGGUGGUUAGCCAAGUCAGCUGUUAAAGCGUGGAGCUUAACUCUAUAUCGGCAGUUGAAACUGGUUAGCUAGAGUGCGAUAGGGGCAAGGGGAAUUCCCAGUGUAGCGGUGAAAUGCGUAGAUAUUGGGAAGAACAUCGGUGGCGAAAGCGCCUUGCUGGGUCUGCACUGACACUGAGGGACGAAA
rnacentral:rRNA from 1 species